rnacentral:rRNA from 1 species
GUAGGGAAUAUUGCGCAAUGGACGAAAGUCUGACGCAGCGACGCCGCGUGAGUGAUGAAGGCCUUAGGGUCGUAAAGCUCUGUUGAAUGGGAAGAAAAAAAUGACGGUACCAUUCGAGGAAGGACCGGCUAACUUCGUGCCAGCAGCCGCGGUAAUACGAGGGGUCCUAGCGUUGUUCGGAAUCAUUGGGCGUAAAGGGUGUGUAGGUGGCCAUGUAAGUCAGGUGUGAAAGCCCCGGGCUCAACCCGGGAAGUGCACUUGAUACUGCGUGGCUUGAGUACCGAAGAGGGUAGUGGAAUUCCAGGUGUAGUGGUGAAAUACGUAGAUAUCUGGAGGAACACCGGUGGCGAAGGCGGCUACCUGGUCGAGUACUGACACUGAGACACGAAAGCAUGGGGAUCAAACGGGAUUAGAAACCCUAGUAGUCC